rfam:Dipodomys ordii contig_62063, whole genome shotgun sequence.
GGGAAGGUGGCUCACUGGUAGAGUGCUUGCCUUGCAUGCAUGAGGCCCUGGGUUCCAUUCCUCGGCAUCACA